GUGAAUUCCCAGAGGCAAUGCUGCAUGCCACCAGACGCGUCCCCAGGUUGCGGAUAGGGGAAAUACCACUAAUUAUAGUGGUCAGCUGUGAAUAGGUUGGUAAACCAACUGAAUAAACAGCCGCGGACAAGCAGCGACAGUGCUAACAGGGUGUGGGGAGAUAUUUUCUGGCAGUUAUAUCUUCAUUUAAAUACCACUAAAACCCGAGGACAGCACUGUGACAUGGCGAGUGUAGGCCGCCAUUUUAUAAGCCUACUGCCAAUAUUUUUUAGAUUUCACACAUUAUCAUCAUUGUUAAGGUAUACGCAAGCUCAUCAAGAAGCAACUGAUUCAAUUCUGCAUGCGUAUCUGGAACAUUUUAUAACAAUUCUAUGAGAUCAAACCACCUUUGAGCAUUGGAUUCUAGCCAUUACAGAAAUAGGAAGCAGAUCAUCCUUGAAAGACUGUAUUGAUCAGUGACAUCACCCAAAAGUAUUUUUUAAUGGAUAUAAGCCUGUUUGUGAUUGUUAUAACUGUACCCUUUACAGUUAGUUUUAAUAGAAUGUUUCUAUUUUACCACCGAAAUUUUCGCAUUUUAAUUAAUUCUCAUUUUAAUCUGCUCUUAUUAGCAAUGAUUUUAGUGUGUUGUGGUCUUUUUGCCUUUCUAUCAGAUAUCUUCUGUAUUUUACAUCAUAUUUGUGUAUAUUUUAUUGUAUUACUUGUUUUUAUUUGAUGUAUGGCCUUAUACCAUUUUAUGUAUUUACUGUUGUAUUUUUCACAAUUUGCUUUGAGCUAUCAUAUUAUUGUUUAUCAUAUUACUAUUACGCAACUGUCGAUGCUUAUCCGAUUAAAGCUGGACUAAGGAUCUUAUAUUUAUGGUUCUGCGAGAGAAUCCACUUCAGACCCAAUUUAUCAUCAAGCAUUUCGUUUAUAUAUUAGGGCUUCUGCACCUCACCUAUCCAAAAUCUCCAUAGAAGCAGUUCAAUCUCCUUUUCCACCAGGAAGAAACAACUCUUUACUACGACUGUAUUAAAUUAAAUCUUUGCCAAACAACUCUGCCUGGAUCAAAUAUAUUUGAAUCCAUGUAUACUAUAGCUUUUGCUGCACACCCUUUGUGUUCCGUCAUUUGGCCUGUGAAUACAAAAAUUAAUCAGUGAGAUCGGUUUAGAUACAUCAGCUGUAUAUAAGACCGAAAACUUCUCUAUUGUACCUGCCAUUGUGAGUGAGAGAUAGAAUAUACCCAUCUUCUGACCCACGUGUUGUAAAUGACGAUUAGAGAGUCAUUACAAUACGUGGCCCAAUCUUAACAUGUAAGCUACCGUGCUGAGAAGAUGAAUGGCGGAAGGUCCGAUGUUUUUAAUGGUGCCUGUAAAGAGAUUGGUCGAUUCUCGGCAUAUAGAGAUUAUUUUUCGGAUCUUAUAUAAGUAGAAGCAGGUCAUGCUCAUAUCGACUACACUGCUGCUCAUAACUAUAGGUCCACCAGGAAACA
rnacentral:lncRNA from 1 species